AUACAGAGGGUGCAAGCGUUAUUCGGAAUUACUGGGCGUAAAGCGCGCGUAGGCGGAUGAUUAAGUCAGUUGUGAAAGCCCUGGGCUCAACCUAGGAACUGCAUCUGAUACUGGUCGUCUAGAGUUUAAGAGAGGGAAGUGGAAUUCCAGGUGUAGCAGUGAAAUGCGUAGAUAUCUGGAGGAACAUCAGUGGCGAAGGCGACUUCCUGGCUUAAAACUGACGCUGAGGUGCGAAAGCGUGGGUAGCGAACGGGAUUAGAUACCCCAGUAGUCC
rnacentral:rRNA from 1 species